rnacentral:misc_RNA from 1 species
GGUGAGACAAGAUCACCUUAGCAGGUUAACAGCUAAGCUACCAUCGCUCGGUGGUAGACCUGAAAUUUACUUACUACUGGACUUUCCACCUCACCUUUCAACGGACAUCGCUUAGAAAGCAAGGAAAGCAGCAACCACUCUCUCUAUAAUUCAUUAUUUCCAUGCAAAUUGCUACAUAUUUGUACAAAACUGCAUCUCCUUUUCAUUGGACUGAAUCUGAUAAUGCAUCCUUUUCAUUAACUGGGUGAUUAAUUAAUGCUUUGGAAUCACAUCAAGGUACAAUGAUAAAUGAACAUGGAUGGCAAAACUUAUAAAAGGAAAAAUGAUCGUUGGCCCAAAAGCUUCAUGCUCUCUGAAACACAACACAUAAAUCCAAGUAUUGUGUAUUAUGCAGUGAAAUAAAAUGAAUGACAUUAGAAACAGCAGUACACUCAGUGAAUUUGGUGCAGGUAAAACAGGAUUAAAAGCUACCAUGUCUUUGUAGAGGCAAUUUAAGAUUAAAUCUAAUCCAUAGAAUCAAGACUUGGAGGGUACCAUCCUAAUUGAUCCAUGAUUUUCUUCAUUCUUUCUUCCUGUCCUUUAGAAUCCCCAAAGGCUGUAGUGAAGGGAUACACAUAGGUGACUUUUGUGGCCAUACACCUAUAAACAACCACAUCUCCUUUUAUCAGAAAUUCAAGCACAUCCUGCCCAAAUCCUCCGUCAACCUCUGCUUGUAAAUAUUGGCCUGAAAUUUGUUGCCAUAACCAUAAUCAAGAUUCAAGAAUGUCUGUUUAAAAAUGAAAUGAAAGAUCUAGUAAUGCUCCUACUUGUACAUUAGUAAGCCCCAACUGGCUUACCUUUUGCAGAUUUACAAAGUUACUAGUUCAGUUUCAUUUGAUUACCAUUUGGGGUAUCUUCAAUAACUUGAAUCUUGGCAUUUCUCUGCGUUUUCAAGAUUGCUUCCUGCAAUUUCUGCAUAAAUUUAAGAGUUGAACGAGUUCAACAUACGCUAGAAUGAAUGUUUUAGCCAUAAGAUAACAAGGCAGAUGUGUGUUUCUUUAAAACCUGAAUCGCAUUAUCUGCGGAGUUCUCAGGAAUUCUCCAUGGGAAUGCAAAUAAUGAAGAUUUAGGAUUUGUCGAUACACAACUUGGAUUAAUGGAUGGGCAAGGCCGAAUUUUCCUGCAACAAUAGAACAUUGCAAAAAAAAAAAUCAUAACAAAAUAAGAUUUUUUUUUAAAUAAAAAAAUGAAGUCAGUACAUACCCAUCUUCUAGUCCAAUCGGCAAGUUCUUGGAUUCAGAAAACGGUGUUGUGGGUGGAAGUAGGGGAGACAAAGAGUUGGGAGAAGGGAUAGCCAAGGAAGGUAAGGGAGAGUUUAAGGUAAAAGUGAGGGCCAAGGAAAGCAGAUUAGUGAAGAGAAUGGGUUUUGGGGUUGGAUUUUGUAUAUUAGAUUUCGCAAAAUUGAAGUGAUGAGGAGAAAUUUUCUGAGUUGGGUUCCUGGAAGGAAGUGAAGGAA